GACGAACGCUGGCGGCGUGCUUAACACAUGCAAGUCGGACGGUGAAGCUCCAGCUUGCUGGAGUGGAUCAGUGGCGAACGGGUGAGUAACACGUGAGCAACCUGCCCCUGACUCUGGAAUAAGCGCUGGAAACGGCGUCUAAUACUGGAUACGAGAAGGGUCCGCAUGGGCACUUUCUGGAAAGUUUUUCGGUUGGGGAUGGGCUCGCGGCCUAUCAGCUUGUUGGUGAGGUAAUGGCUCACCAAGGCGACGACGGGUAGCCGGCCUGGGAGGGCGACCGGCCACACUGGGACUGAGACACGGCCCAGACUCCUACGGGAGGCAGCAGUGGGGAAUAUUGCACAAUGGGCGAAAGCCUGAUGCAGCGACGCCGCGUGAGGGAGGACGGCCUUCGGGUUGUAAACCUCUUUCAGCAGGGAAGAAGCGAAAGUGACGGUACCUGCAGAAGAAGCACCGGCUAACUACGUG
rnacentral:rRNA from 1 species